GCUUUUUGUGGUUUUGGAUGGACUCGCGGCCUAUCAGCUUGUUGGUGAGGUAAUGGCUCACCAAGGCGACGACGGGUAGCCGGCCUGAGAGGGUGACCGGCCACACUGGGACUGAGACACGGCCCAGACUCCUACGGGAGGCAGCAGUGGGGAAUAUUGCACAAUGGGCGAAAGCCUGAUGCAGCGACGCCGCGUGAGGGAUGACGGCCUUCGGGUUGUAAACCUCUUUCAGUAGGGAAGAAGCGAAAGUGACGGUACCUGCCGAAGAAGCGCCGGCUAACUACGUGCCAGCAGCCGCGGUAAUACGUAGGGCGCAAGCGUUAUCCGGAAUUAUUGGGCGUAAAGAGCUCGUAGGCGGUUUGUCGCGUCUGCCGUGAAAGUCCGGGGCUCAACUCCGGAUCUGCGGUGGGUACGGGCAGACUAGAGUGAUGUAGGGGAGACUGGAAUUCCUGGUGUAGCGGUGAAAUGCGCAGAUAUCAGGAGGAACACCGAUGGCGAAGGCAGGUCUCUGGGCAUUAACUGACGCUGAGGAGCGAAAGCAUGGGGAGCGAACAGGAUUAGAUACCCUGGUAGUCCAUGCCGUAAACGUUGGGCACUAGGUGUGGGGGACAUUCCACGUUUUCCGCGCCGUA
rnacentral:rRNA from 1 species